rnacentral:sRNA from 1 species
UUCCGGUAGCUGCUGCCUGGCUCGGCGCC